rnacentral:rRNA from 1 species
AACCUCCGCAAUGUGAGAAAUCGCGACGGGGGGAUCCCAAGUGCCAUUCUUAACGGGAUGGCUUUUCAUUAGUGUAAAGAGCUUUUGGAAUAAGAGCUGGGCAAGACCGGUGCCAGCCGCCGCGGUAACACCGGCAGCUCUAGUGGUAACAAUUUUUAUUGGGCCUAAAGCGUCCGUAGCCGGUUUAAUAAGUCUCUGGUGAAAUCCUGUAGCUUAACUGUGGGGAUUGCUGGAGAUACUAUUAGACUUGAGACCGGGAGAGGUUAGAGGUACUCCCAGGGUAGAGGUGAAAUUCUGUAAUCCUGGGAGGACCGCCUGUUGCGAAGGCGUCUAACUGGAACGGUUCUGACGGUGAGGGACGAAAGUUAGGGGCGCGAACCGGAUUAGAUACCCGGGUAGUCCUAACUGUAAACGAUGCGGACUUGGUGUUGGGGUGGCUUUGAGCUGCUCCAGUGCCGAAGGGAAGCUGUUAAGUCCGCCGCCUGGGAAGUACGGUCGCAAGACUGAAACUUAAAGGAAUU